rnacentral:rRNA from 1 species
GCCGCGCUAUUGCUAUGCCACCAACCGUCCACUCCCACGCCACCCACCCGGAGCCAGAUCUAGAUCGAGACCCCCUCCACCGGCGGCCUCCCGUCCCUCCUUCCUCAACCUCAUCUCCUCUGUCAGAGCAACCGUUCCAAUCUUUGAGAUCUCAGCUCCCCCUCCCCCUCCUCCUCCACCCUCGUCUUGCCGCUGCUGAUCCUCCUGCUGCUGCUGCUGCUCGUGCAGGAGAGAGGAGGCCAUGACGCCAUCACCAUCGCCACCCUGGACAUGGACGUAGACAUGGGGGUGGAGGCGACGCAGAUGGGCGCGGAACCGGCGGCGCACGGGCGGCUGCUGUGGGCGACCGGCGGCGGGCGGAGGUACAUCAGCUACGACGCGCUACGGGGGACGUUGUGUUGUGCUCCCGGCCAGGGGUGCCCUACUACAACUGCCGCAUCAGCACCACCGCCAACCCCUACACCCGCGGCUGCGAGUCCAUCACCCACUGUCGCGAGGACGACCCUUCCUAGGUUGUAAACAGAAUCCAGAAAUUACGGAAGACUACUCAGCUUGAACCUACAGACUUAAUUGAUGUUUACUACGAGUCUGUAGACAACAGCAGCAAUACACUUGAAGAAAUUUUGCAGUCACAGGAUCAGUGUAUUAGGGACGUGCUUGGUAAUUCACUAGUUCCAAAGGCAGCGGCAACAUCAGAUAUGAAGAUAGUGAUAGAGUUUGAAGGUAUGUGCAAAGAUCUUCUCCUCCGUCGCCGUCCGCGACAAAGCUGUUGGGUGCAUCCGUCCAUCAUCUUUAGAUCUGAGUGAAGAGGGCAUCCGUCCAUCUCAAAAGGAUAUGGAUGACCAUCUGAUGGUAUGCAGGUUUCUUCCCAAACUUAACGAUGAGAUACUAGGUGAAAGAAAUGCUCUCUACAAGGAAAGGUUGAGCAGCCUAGAGAAUUUAGUACUGAUCAUGAGGUGAUCGACGCAGACUACCGCGACCCGGUGGGCGUCGUGCUCUUCAACAACUCGGAGGCGGAUUUUGCUGUGAAGCCCGGCGACCGCGUCACACAGAUGAUUGUCUAGGUGAUUGCGAUGCCGAAGCUCGCCGAGGUGGAGGACCUUGACGUCACCGUCUGGAGGUCAUCGAGGUGGAGGACCUCGACGCCAUCGUCUCGAGGUUGCCGAGGUGGAGGAUCUCGACGCCACCGUCUCGAGGUUGCCAAGGUGAAGGACCUCGACGCCUUGGUAGAUACAUCUAGAGAAGUGGUCAUGUUAGGUUGGUGGUGGAACGCUAGGGAAGGUACCCACCUUUCGGUGACGGUUGUGUGCGUCUGAUGUAUAAAUGGUAUCUCGUGAUUAGAUGUUCAAUGUUGUAUCCAUGAAUGUUGCAAGUGCUAAGAUGGUUCUGUGACAUUUUAUUUUGCCUUGGAUGUGUCUUGUUUUCCAUCCAUGAAUAUUGCAU